rnacentral:rRNA from 1 species
UGCGAGUCAUUAUAGCAAUACAAGGCAGACGGCUCAGUAACGCGUAGUCAAUCUACCCUAUGGACGGGAAUAACCUCGGGAAACUGAGAAUAAUGCCCGACAGAACAUUAUACCUGGAACGGUUUAUGUUUCAAAUGAUUUAUCGCCGUAGGAUGGGACUGCGGCCUAUCAGUUUGUUGGUGAGGUAAUGGCCCACCAAGACUAUUACAGGUACGGGCUCUGAGAGGAGUAGCCCGGAGAUGGGUACUGAGACACGGACCCAGGCCCUAUGGGGCGCAGCAGGCGAGAAAACUUUGCAAUGUGCGAAAGCACGACAAGGUUAAUCCGAGUGGUUUCUGCUAAAGAAACCUUUUGCUAGUCCUAGAAACACUAGUGAAUAAGGGGUGGGCAAGUUCUGGUGUCAGCCGCCGCGGUAAAACCAGCACCUCAAGUGGUCAGGAUGAUUAUUGGGCCUAAAGCAUCCGUAGCUCGUUUUGUAAGUUUUCGGUUAAAUCCAUACGCUUAACGUAUGGGCUGCCGGGAAUACUGCAUAACUAGGAAGUGGGAGAGGUAGACGGUACUCGGUAGGAAGGGGUAAAAUCCUUUGAUCUAUUGAUGACCACCUGUGGCGAAGGCGGUCUACCAGAACACGUUCGACGGUGAGGGAUGAAAGCUGGGGGAGCAAACCGGAUUAGAUACCCGGGUAGUCCCAGCUGUAAACUAUGCAAACUCAGUGAUGCAUUGGCUUGUGGCCAAUGCAGUGCUGCAGGGAAGCCGUUAAGUUUGCCGCCUGGGAAGUACGUACGCAAGUAUGAAACUUAAAGGAAUUGGCGGGGGAGCACCACAAGGGGUGAAGCCUGCGGU